rnacentral:rRNA from 1 species
GAUGAACGCUGGCGGCGUGCCUAAUACAUGCAAGUCGAGCGAACGGACGAGAAGCUUGCUUCUCUGAUGUUAGCGGCGGACGGGUGAGUAACACGUGGAUAACCUACCUAUAAGACUGGGAUAACUUCGGGAAACCGUAGCUAAUACCGGAUAAUAUUUUGAACCGCAUGGUUCAAAAGUGAAAGACGGUCUUGCUGUCACUUAUAGAUGGAUCCGCGCUGCAUUAGCUAGUUGGUAAGGUACCGGCUUACCAAGGCAACGAUGUAUAGCCGACCUGAGAGGGGGAGCGGCCACACUGGAACUGAGACACGGUCCAGACUCCUACGGGAGGCAGCAGUAGGGAAUAUUCCGCAAUGGGCGAAAGCAUGACGGAGCAACGCCGCGUGAGUGAUGAAGGUCUUCGGAUCGUAAAACUCUGUUAUUAGGGAAGAACAUAUGUGUAAGUAACUGUGCACAUCUUGACGGUACCUAAUCAGAAAGCCACGGCUAACUACGUG